AAUUCUAGGUUUUUGGCCGUAAAACGCAAAACAACGAGGAAUGGCCACGGCGAGGCGGUGACUAUGGUUCCUUAGUUCGUAUUUGAUGGCCUGGAAAAAUAUUAGGCAAUCCGGUUUCGGGGGACCUGGGCCCACUCGGAAGGCGUGUGCUAGAGCACACGAAAAUAUGGGAAUCGGGCAGAAUUUUAGUUUUUUGGUCAAAAAAAGCAAAACAACGAGGAACGGUCAUGGCGGGGCAGUGACUAUGGUUUCUUAGGUCGUAUUUGAUUGCUUGGAGAAAUUUUAGGCAAUCGGGGACCGAGGGCCCGGAACCACUAGGAAGGCGUGGGCUAUAGCACACGAAUAUAUGGAAAUUGGGCGGAAUUUUAGUUUUUUGGCCGUAAAACGCAAAACAACGAGGAACGGCCACGGCGAGGCGGUGACUAUGGUUCCUUUGGUCGUAUUUGAUGGCCUGGAAAAAUAUUAGGCAAUCCGGUUUUGGGGGACCCGGGCCCACUCGGAAGGCGUGGGCAAGAGCACACGAAAAUAUGGGAAUCGGGCGGAAAUCUAGUUUUUUGGCCGUAAAAU
rnacentral:lncRNA from 1 species